AUUGAACGCUGGCGGCAGGCCUAACACAUGCAAUUCGAACGAGUGGCGGACGGGUGAGUCAUGUCUGGGAAACUGCCUGAUGGAGUGGGAUAACUACUGGAAACGGUAGCUAAUACCGCAUACCAUCAGAUGUGCCCAGAUGGGAUUAGCUAGUAGGUGGGGUAAUGGCUCACCUAGGCGACGAUCCCUAGCUGGUCUGAGAGGAUGACCAGCCACACUGGAACGGAGACACGGUCCAGACUCCUACGGGAGGCAGCAGUGGGGAAUAGUGCACAAUGGGCGCAAGCCUGAUGCAGCCAUGCCGCGUGUGUGAAGAAGGCCUUCGGGUUGUAAAGCACUUUCAGCGAGGAGGCGUUACUCGCAGAAGAAGCACCGGCUAACUCCGUGCCAGCCGCCGCGGUAAUAC
rnacentral:rRNA from 1 species